AUUGAACGCUGGCGGAAUGCUUUACACAUGCAAGUCGAACGGUAGAGGGGGCAACCCCUCGAGAGUGGCGAACGGGUGAGUAAUAUAUCGGAACGUGUCCAGUCGUGGGGGAUAACGUAGCGAAAGUUACGCUAAUACCGCAUACGAUCUAAGGAAGAAAGCGGGGGAUCGCAAGACCUCGCGCGAUUGGAGCGGCCGAUAGCAGAUUAGGUAGUUGGUGGGGUAAAGGGUCACCAAGCCAACGAUCUGUAGCUGGUCUGAGAGGACGACCAGCCACACUGGACCUGAGACACGGUCCAGACUCCUACGGGAGGCAGCAGUGGGGAAUUUUGGACAAUGGACGCAAGUCUGAUCCAGCCAUUCCGCGUGCAUGAUGAAGGCCCUCGGGUUGUAAACUGCUUUUGUACGGAACGAAAAGGUCUCUCUUAAUACGGGGGACUCAUGACGGUACCGUAAGAAUAAGCACCGGCUAACUACGUGCCAGCCGCCGCAGUAA
rnacentral:rRNA from 1 species